rnacentral:lncRNA from 1 species
CAAAGUAUACUAAAUUUAUAAACAACAAUGAAAUUAUGAACCAAAUUUAUAUCUAUUUUAUUAACAAAAAAACAGAGUAUAAUAAAGAAAAAAUAAAGAGGAAAGAGAGUGUGCUUAUUACAAUCUCAAACUAAAUUAUCAAUCUUCUCACAAUCUUCUCCAGUCUCAUCUCUUCACCUCUCAUAUCCGUUCCUCUGCAAUCUUCGUCUCUCUGGUGAGCUCCUCACCUCUUCCUCUAAGAAACCCCUCUGCCUCUCCAACCACCGUUGAUGAAGCUUCACCACCACACUAAUUUUGAAACUAUCACUCGUCACCAACACCACCAUCGCUCGUCAUCACCCUCACGACGUAGAGGAUGUCUUUCCCCUCGAAGCCAAACUCCGCCUUCUCUGCCAUCUCUCCCAUCCGCUGGUCACCACCACCACCACCAUCACAUCUCAGAUCUAUAUUCGUCGGUCUCCGUUUUCACUGAGGUCGUCACCACCACUGGUUACCUCUCUCUCUCGAACUCUCUGUCGCACUCUCUCUGUAUUUUGAAAUUGAUUCUUGUUUGUUUUGGGUGCAUGAAGGUGGACAAUGCAUAUGAGCCUUAUGGAAGAGGAGGUACGGGAACGUCGGAGCUCUGUGAUGGAGAUGGCGGCGACAACAAGAGGCGACGAUGAAAGCAGGAGGGAGUGGCGAGAGGCUUAGAUUUAGGUUUUAGAUUUAAUAGAGGUGUUAUUGGUUUAUAUAUUUUGAUUGAUUUAGAAAUCCAUAGAAUAUUUAUAAAUCCAAGUAAAAUAUACAAAUCCGGAGGUUUUCCCUCUGAUUUGAGUCUUUGUAUUUUUAACAGAAAAAUCCAAACAAAUCCAUUCAAAUCCAUUAUAAAAUCAAAUAUAUUAGUAAAUCCGUGCGAUUGAAUAACAC